AAGACUAUACUUUCAGGGAUCAUUUCUAUAGUAUCCAACUAGAGAAAUGCACUCAAACACUGAAGACUUUCAAGAAGAGACUGGAUUGCCGUCUGUCAGA
ensembl:snoRNA U3 Small nucleolar RNA U3